rnacentral:rRNA from 1 species
ACGGCUCAGUAACACGUAGUCAACAUGCCCAAAGGACGUGGAUAACCUCGGGAAACUGAGGAUAAACCGCGAUAGGUCAUAAGUACUGGAAUGUUUUAUGGCUCAAAUCUACAUGGCCUCUGGAUUGGACUGCGGCCGAUCAGGCUGUUGGUGAGGUAAUGGCCCACCAAACCUGUUACCGGUACGGGCUCUGAGAGGAGGAGCCCGGAGAUGGGCACUGAGACAAGGGCCCAGGCCCUAUGGGGCGCAGCAGGCGCGAAACCUCUGCAAUAGGCGAAAGCUUGACAGGGUUACUCUGAGUGAUUCCCGCUAAGGGAAUCUUUUGGCAUCUCUAAAAACGAUGCAGAAUAAGGGGUGGGCAAGUCUGGUGUCAGCCGCCGCGGUAAUACCAGCACCCCGAGUGGUCGGGACGAUUAUUGGGCCUAAAGCAUCCGUAGCCGGUCUUGCAAGUCUUCCGUUAAAUCCACCUGCUUAACAGAUGGGCUGCGGAAGAUACUACAAGACUAGGAGGCGGGAGAGGCAAGCGGUACUCAGUGGGUAGGGGUAAAAUCCUCUGAUCCAUUGAAGACCACCAGUGGCGAAGGCGGCUUGCCAGAACGCGCUCGACGGUGAGGGAUGAAAGCUGGGGGAGCAAACCGGAUUAGAUACCCGGGUAGUCCCAGCUGUAAACGAUGCAGGCUCGGUGAUGGACUAGCUACAUGCUAGUCCAGUGCCGCAGGGAAGCCGUUAAGUCUGCCGCCUGGGUAGUACGGUCGCAAGACUGAAACUUAAAGGAAUUGGCGGGGGAGCAC